UGAGGAUGAUGAUGAUGAUGAUGAUGAUGAUGAGGCAUUCACCUAACAGCUGACAAUGAUGGCUGUGUACAUGAAACAAACGGGAAAUAUCAUCAUCAUCAUCAUCAUCAUCAUCA
rnacentral:miRNA from 1 species